rnacentral:rRNA from 1 species
CACGUAGGGACCAAGCGUUGUCUGGAUUCAUUGGGCGUAAAGAGCUCGUAGGCGGCUCAGUAAGUCGGGUGUGAAACCUCCAGGCUCAACCUGGAGACGCCACCCGAUACUGCUGAGGCUAGAGUCCAGUAGGGGAGCGUGGAAUUCCUGGUGUAGCGGUGAAAUGCGUAGAUAUCUGGAGGAACACCGGUGGCGAAGGCGGCAUCCUGGACCAUAACUGACACUGAUAAGCGAAAGCCAGGGGAGCAAACGGG